UGUGGCCUCGCACAUCUGGAUGCACUGU
rnacentral:piRNA from 1 species